GGGCGGUUAGCUCAGAGGUAGAGCGGCUCGUUUACACCGAGUUGGCCGGCGGUUCGAUCCCGUCACCGCCCA
rnacentral:tRNA from 1 species